UCAAUCUAAUAAAACUCAUUAAUAAAAAUAGCAAUUAAGUACAUUUCUUUUCUUGAAAUACUAUACUCCACAAAUUUUAUCUCUUGUUAUUUCCGCCUCUCUCUCACACCAGAAAACCAUUUUCCUCUUUCUGCCUUUCUCGUAAAAUAAAAUCUCUCUCACACUCACUCGUCGUGCCGCACAGAUCUUCCCACCUCGCCUUCUCCGGCAACAGCUGUAGUACGGUACGUCUCCUUUUUUCAUCGCCCCAUCCGCCUCGCCUCCCACUCGCCGCCACCGUCUUCUCCGCUAACAGCCGCAAAAGGGAAAAUCAGCAGUAGCGUUGCAAGCCUCGAGAAGUUUGCCUCUACAGUUGCAUCAGUCCGCCUCUCUGACCUCCGCGGCUCUGUGGAUGAUGGGUUUGGUUUCUGAAAAAUUGAGAAAAUUUUGAAGAACUCUCGACAACUGCCACAGUUUUUGUAAGCGUUUCAGUUUUUACAACUAUCAUAUUCAAUUUUAGCGGAAAAAAUUUGUGUUUUAGCGGGAAUAAGUUACCGUUUAACUGGUCUUUUAUAUAGUAUAUAGAUGGUAUGUUUACU